GUUAUAUGUGCAACUCUGUACAAGGCUGCAUCCGUAAUAACACUAGGAACACUACAAAUCGUGGCGUUUCUGAGCCUCAGAAAAAUAUGCUUAAUGAUGACAUUGGUACAAUGACGACAGCCUCAGUUUCAAACCCACCAGAAGAAUACUCGAC